rnacentral:lncRNA from 1 species
CUGGUCUCUAUCUCCCGACCUCAAGUGGUCUGCCCACCUCAGCCUCUCAAAGUGCUGGGAUUACAGGCGUGAGCCACCACGCCCAGCCAGACCAUUCCUUUCUAAGGCACGAGUCAGGAUGGGCAUUUAUUGGAAAGGAUUUUCUUAUUCCAGUUAAUUUCCAGAUGCUGAAAUUUCAGGGACCAGGAAACCACUUUUGUCCUCUUUUCCCUGUGAAGUCUCAGGAUCUGUGAGCACAAAGCCUGGAGGUGCCGGCAGGGACCUUGUGAGUCACCAGAGGGAGAACCUCGCAUGGUUCAAAAUGUAAGGAGACAGAUGAAACACACACAGAAACAAACAAGAAGACAUCAGAGAGUGCUCUAAAGAAAAUUAGCUUGAGGCAGUGAUGCAGAGAGAGCUCAGUCAGGAAAGGCCUCCUGGAGGAGGCAACAUCUGAGCGGAGGUGGAGAUGCUCCGAGGAGCUGGCUGCAGAGACAUGAAGAGCAUCCCAGGCAGAGGGCACAGCACUGGCUCCAAGGUCUGAAGAGGGAGGAGAGAGAGAACCACGUCAGGUCCUGUGAGAUACUGUCCUUCACUUCUUCCGGGUGACAUCUGAGCACCUGCAGCCCUUCCCAUGCACAUCCAUUGUGGUUCAGAUGAAAACAGGAUGAAAUGUAACCUGGUCUGAUGACAUUAAUUUGCCUGAAGGAGCCCAGCACCCUGUCAUUUAGAGCUGCAUUUUCCUGGGGGCCUGGGCUGGGCCCCCUUUUAAGAUGAAGGCUGCUCCUCCACCCUCCUGACACUUGGUUGCUGGUUUUCCUCACACCUGCAGCCAGUCCACAGCUGGCCGCCUGCUGGCCUAGCUCCAGGCCGAUGGGGUGGCUGGACAGGCAGGGAGCUGCACGCAGCUUUGCAGUUCCAGCCUCAAGAGUGACGGCAGCCUCCCUAGGUACGGGCCACUGCCUGGCACUUUCCUCCCCUCCUGCCUCGGGUGGCUAGGGUGUGGAUUUUGGCCGGUGAACGCCACGCAUCAAACUCGUGUGUGGCAGCUGGGGGACCACCCAGCCCUAAGCAGUCGGCCCACCGCAUUUCAGGGUGGGUUGUUUUCUUGCUCGGACUUGUUUUUCCUGGCACUGCAAAGGUCACAUGCUUACUUCGUGGCAGUAAGUGUGAGGCGCCCCCGUGGGCUCUUAGCGAGGGUAAAGAGAUGCUUUUUUUUUUUUUUUUUGCAUACGCAGAAAGUUACGUGGGAACAGAACCAUGUAUAACCCAUUAAACUGCCUGUCCUGAUGGACGCCC